GAGGAGGGAGUGAUUAAAUGUUCUUUCAUGCACUGUAUAAUUCAUCCUGUCCUGAUUUUAAAUGAUGACUUUACUUCAGCGAAACCAAGAUGGUUGUGGAAUGUUGACGAUGGAGAAAAC